rnacentral:misc_RNA from 1 species
AAGUCAAAAUUAAUAUUGUUCUAACAUUAGCUUUGUAAGAUAAAGAUACCAUAAUGAUGUGUCACUUUAAGUAGAUUCCAGUUAAAUCUGUCAUUCUCAUGUAAUGACUAGAAAACCAAAAACAUAACCAUCCAGUCCACAAUUUGGAUUAAGGUGCAUGUGUUGCCAAAUAAUAAUCAUUUCAAAGCAAAAUUGGAGCUGGUACCAUGUUAAUCAUGAUUCACGACUAGGAGCCUCAUUUGAACACAAUCUGAUGUAUAACAAGAAGUACAAGAAGGAUUGAGAGAAAUAAAUUCUCAGGAUUCAAAGGAAGAGAAACAAAUCUUCUAAAGAAACUAAUUGUCAAAGCCUUAUUUAAUUGUCAAUACUAAUCAAAAUAAAAGUCAACUAAUAAAAGUCAACUAAUAAAAUACCUAUAAAUAAGUAUCUAUAGACUAGCAAUCCUACUACCCUAAAAAAAUA